CCGACUGAGUUAUGGCAGCUCUUCACAUGCGCAGGCUUCAUGUGAUGCUGCGACAGAUGACUACAUUCAGGAUCCAGACACGAUUAUGCAUUCUACUGGACCUGACAGCACCAUCGAUACAUGUCAUCCUACGCCGCAUCCGGCUAUAAGGAGAAAACAUGAUGAUGAUGAUCCUGAUAGCGUACCCGGGCGG